UGCAUCGGCCGGAAAUCGAACACGGGGCGCCCGCGUGGCAGGCGAGCAUUCUACCACUGAACCAAAAGC
rnacentral:tRNA from 1 species